rnacentral:rRNA from 18 species
ACUCUAACAGGACUGCCUACGCAAGUAGAGAGGAAGGUGGGGACGACGUCAAGUCAUCAUGGCCCUUACGACCAGGGCUACACACGUGCUACAAUGGUUAGUACAGAGGGUCGCAACCUUGUGAAAGGUAGCCAAUCUCAAAAAGCUAAUCUCAGUUCGGAUUGGAGUCUGCAACUCGACUCCAUGAAGCAAUCGCUAGUAAUCGCGCAUCAGCAAUGGCGCGGUGAAUACGUUCCCGGACCUUGUACACACCGCCCGUCAAGCCAUGGGAGUUGGGUGUACCUGAAGGUUGUGACCGUUACAGGAGCAGCUUAGGGUAAAACUAGCGACUAGGGCUAAGUCGUAACAAGGUAGCCGUACCGGAAGGUGCGGCUGGAACACCUC